UCAAAAUGUUAGUGAAAUCUUUCU
rnacentral:siRNA from 1 species